rnacentral:misc_RNA from 1 species
AGCAGCCGCGGUAAUUCCAGCUCCAAUAGCGUAUAUUAAAGUUGUUGCAGUUAAAAAGCUCGUAGUUGAAUUUCGGGAUUGACGUGAUGGUCGUGCCUUAAGGGGUAUGAACUGUCGCUGUUGAUUUCUCACCUUCUGGAGAAACUUGAUGUCCUUAAUUGGGUGUCUUGCGGAUCCAGGACCUUUACCUUGAAAAAAUUAGAGUGUUUAAAGCAGGCAUUUUUGCUCGAAUACAUUAGCAUGGAAUAAUAGAAUAGGACGGCAUGGUUCUAUUUUGUUGGUUUCUAGGAUCACCGUAAUGAUUAAUAGGGAUAGUUGGGGGCAUUAGUAUUCAAUUGUCAGAGGUGAAAUUCUUGGAUUUAUUGAAGACUAACUACUGCGAAAGCAUUUGCCAAGGAUGUUUUCAUUAAUCAAGAACGAAAGUUAGGGGAUCGAAGACGAUCAGAUACCGUCGUAGUCUUAACCAUAAACUAUGCCGACUAGGAAUCAGACGAUGUUAAUUUUUUAAUGACUCGUUUGG